UGGGGGAUAUUGCACAAUGGGGGAAACCCUGAUGCAGCGACGCCGCGUGAGGGAAGAAGGUUUUCGGAUUGUAAACCUCUGUCUUCGGUGACGAAAAUGACGGUAGCCGAGGAGGAAGCCACGGCUAACUACGUGCCAGCAGCCGCGGUAAUACGUAGGUGGCAAGCGUUGUCCGGAAUUACUGGGUGUAAAGGGAGCGUAGGCGGGGAUACAAGUUGAAUGUUAAAACUAUGGGCUCAACCCAUAGUUGCGUUCAAAACUGUAUUUCUUGAGUGAAGUAGAGGUAAGCGGAAUUCCUAGUGUAGCGGUGAAAUGCGUAAAUAUUAGGAGGAACACCAGUGGCGAAGGCGGCUUACUGGGCUUUAACUGACGCUGAGGCUCGAAAGCGUGGGUAGCAAACAGGAUUAGAUACCCUGGUAGU
rnacentral:rRNA from 1 species